CCGAGACCAGACCUGAGCUGGAUAACAACGAGUUCCCAAACAACUGUGAAAACAUGCUUGUACCUGUCUCCCUUGAGAAGGAUUUGAAGAUUGCGACAAGAAUGUGCGAGAAGAAUGGAAAAAGUUGGUGGUGGAGCUUUAUAGAUGGAUUGGACAAGCUCUAAAACCUAAAUUGUCUGCCCUUAAACCAAUCCAAGUUACUGAAUUGGAAGCUGAAUUUGAAAGCUGGGCAACGAAAAACCCCAACAAACCCGAUUCUUGUGUUCACAACAAGAUCUCAAAGCUAAAAUGGAAGCUCGAAUGACGGAAGGAAAUGAUGCAAAUGAAGAAGAGGUUGAUGGAGCCGAAGCUAUUCCGGACAUUGAUCCUUACGAAUUACUGGAACCCGUCGAUAUUUUAUCUCAGUUACCGAAAGAUUUCUACGAUAAAUGUGAAGCCAAAAAAUGGCAAGAAAGGAAAGAGGCAGUGGACGUGGUAGAACAAUUAGUAGCAAAUCCAAAGCUUCAAAAUGGAGACUAAGGGGAUUUAGUCAGGGCCUUGAAAAAGAUCAUCGCCAAAGACUCAAAUGUAAUGGUUAUUGCCGUUGCCGGCAAAUGCAUGACCGGUCUGGCUAACGGAUUGAAAAAGAAAUUUUCAUCCUAUGCUUUAGCUUGCAUACCAACAAUUUUAGAAAAGUUUAAGGAGAAGAAACAGAACGUUGUAACUGCUAUGCGUGAGGCAAUCGAUGCAAUCUAUCCCAGUACGACGAUUGAAGCUAUUCAAGAAGAUGUCUUAGCUGGAUUAGAGAACAAAAAUCCACCGGUCAAAGUUUAAACUGCAGCUUUCUUGGGUCGAUGCUUUUCAAAAUGUAAUGCAACAGUAUUAAACAAAAAACUUCUAAAGGCCUAUUGUCCAGCUCUGAUCAAAACUUUAAACGAGUCGGAUCCUGGUGUAUGCCCUUGGCACGGCUAUGAAAGUCGUCGGCGAAAAAGUAAUCAUGCCUUUCCUUCCAGACUUAGAAGCCAUGAAAAUGGCAAAAAUCAAGGAAUGUUGUGAAAAGGCUGUCGUUUGCGGUAAAUCUUCUGGUCCAGCUAAACCCAAAGCUGCUGUUGCAAAUGAUGUAAAGGAAGCUACUGCUAAGCCUGCUGAGGCAGCACAAAAGAAACCUGGGGCUGUCAUUAAGAAACCGACACCAGCAGCAUCUGGAAGUGGCCCGCCGAAGAAAACUGCAGGAAAACCAGUGGCAAAAAAACCAGUUGGAGCGGGUGCCAAAGUCGAAGAAAAAUUGGAAAAAGAGCUUUCACCAGAAGAAGUAGAAGAGAAAGCUGCUGCCAUUUUACCUCCGGAAGUCAUAACUGGAAUUACAGAUGCCAAUUGGAAGACUAGAUUGGGUGCUAUGGAGUCUUUGAUGCAGACAAUCCAAACACUCGAUAGAGUUGACAUACCUACACCCCGAUGUGAUAUCACAUGAUAUCACCCGGAUGUCAUUUAUUCCAUGUCGUUCAACCGCGACGGCUCCCUGCUGGCCACCACCUGCAAGGACAAGCAGUUGCGCAUCAUCGAGCCGAGAACGGCUCACUUGUGGAAGAUGUUGAGCGAGGGCGGAAUGGAAUUGAAAUGGAGUCCUUUCCGUUUCCCCCACUGUCAAAUCAGUCGCUCCAAUUAGGAUAUGAUUGAAAUGCUGACCAAACUAGUCCAGGAGGCUGGACUGAGUAACGUCACCGAACGCAGUUCUGCUAGUCUCUUGUUCACCGUCCGAUCCAUUUGCGAGUUAUACAUUUCCGCCGAGCCUGAAUACCAUCGCGACGCCCUAGAGAAACUCCCUUUCCACGCUGCUGUGGCGUUAGAGAGGAGGAGAACGGCCGCCGGCGUUCAAGUGCUGUCUCUGCUAAUGGAAAUUAAAAAUGUUAUCGCUAGAUGGCCACAUCUUAGACAAGAAUCUUAAGAUUGACGUUAAAAAAAAUAUUCGGCAAUGCUGUUCAAUUACCGAAAAUCAAAGAAUGAUUGUCUAGUGCGACUUUUUAAUGGCCGCCCUGUAUCACUUCUCACAUUUUCUCUAUCUCAAGUAACUAUUGUUGCUGAAGUACUGGCUACUCAGUCGAACAAAAUUCUCACUGCAGCAACAACAAGAGAACUACAAUAGCCCAAGCUGGGGGUAUGAAAAACCCGUUCAUACUCCAGCAACAACCAUCCCAGCAACAUUAUCCACAACAUCUUCCUCAACAACCGCAGCCAACACACCCUACCAUGCCUCUUGCAGAGUCGCAACAGCCACAAGAACAUAAGCAACAACAACAAAUUCAUCCGCAGCAAAUCCAAGAGCAGCCUCCGAAACAGUACCCAGUACCACAACAGGCUGCACAACCCCAUUUGUCGGUAUACAACCACCAAGAGUUCACCAACGCGAUAGCUUCAACGCAUUCACACAAAGGAAAAGAAACUGACAAAUCUACGUUCCAACCCCAACCAAUCGUAUCUCAGCAGACAGCGAAUAGCCAACCGUUCAAUGCGUCCGUUAAAGCAGAUCCCAUCGCUACGUCGUCCAUGAAUAAUUCCUUACAGCAAAAUAUUUGGUUGUCCAGGAAUCAUAUUAGUGGGUGGCCGUCCUAUAAAGAAGACUCGGAUUCUGACAGUGGAAGAAAAGGAAGUGUAGUUGUGAAACCAGUGGAACCAGUGAAGGAAUAAAAGCCAAUUGUAGAGGAGAGUAAACCCAAAGUGAAAGUGCGGAAAGAAGACAAAGAUAGAGAGACUCCUCGUAAAAGAAAAUCCACCGGCGGUUAGGUGACAACACCGAACAACGUCUAACCAGCACUGAUGGAAGUCGUCUUUGACGUGCACACCGCAGCCUUCAGCUUUUCUCUUGUAACGGAUCUGGUCACGGAAAAUAUGACUUGUCUCUUGCAAUGGUUUGUUGAAAAUGAGCCCGUUCCUGCACACCCACUCGUCCGUUUACUCACCAAGUUCUUCGAAGCAGCAAUUUUUUGGAAUGUAGCGAAAUUUACAGCGAAGAUUACUGACACACAGCAAAACUUAAGCCACAAAGACCGAGAAUUCAAUGCAUUAGCCGUUGAACUGUGGAGCAAAUUUGCGAGUGCUCUGAUUGCUAAGAGCCACGUCAUUCAUUUGCCUAAUGCCCACUUGCAAUCACUUCUACUUCCUCUUAUCUGGUCUCGUAUCAAGUCAGACGAGGGCGCUUCCUCCCGUGCUCUAGAAUCUUAUCAACAUGGGCGAAAAAAGAUUCUUUAGUCUUAGAAAAAGUUCUGAAUCCUCGAGGAUUAGAAGAAGUUGAUGUCGAGGAAUCCACAAACCAUUCUGUGCUAUCAGCUCUUCGCUCAGAGUUAUCUUCGCAUUCAAAGGAAAUUUCUUCGUGGAUCAACCGCUGGACAGCAUCUUGGAUUAAACUCACUGACAUUGCAGAGAAUAAGAAGAAAUGUACGGAUUUGUUCGUGAAUUUUCUGUCUAUGGUAAUCGAGGAGCUGAAAGUAGAGGGGAACCCCGAUUCAUUGUUGACGCAAGUGAAAUCGAGUCUUCAAGGAAACACUCUUUCAAAAGAUGCUUCGGACAUUCUAUCUGGAACAUUUGAUCAUGCGGCUACUGCUUUUAAGACAACAAAUGUUCUGAAGUUGCGCAAGCAUAAUAAUAUUUGUAAACUGUUUUCAACUCUUGUUCAACGUAACCUUUUCCCGAGAAACAAGCAAAAGCCCAAAGCCCUCGACGAUUUUGUUGUCAUUCAUACAUCCCGAAAAGAAAAAGCGUGUGCUGACGGAGCACCAGAAAGAGGUGAUGCGAUCCAAGAGACGAUCGACCUGUGGUGUACCCGCCAUGUAUAACGACUUAUCGCAGAGUAGUCAAACCACAGAUUCAAUGGAUACUCAAUCCGUAAGUGAAUUCUCAGUUUCUGCUGCUGCUUCCAGUUUAUCUGUUCUGAAAGAAGAAGACGCACUUCUUGAACCUCCGGUGAUUUUGAAACAAACGGAAGUUUUGAACGAAUUGCCCGAUAAUGGAAACCAAAUUAUUGGUCAUGCAAAACAGAUGAUCCAGCUACUCUUAGUGAAAUGUUACAGGUAGAUUUGAAGUUAAGAAGCAUAGUCAGCGUUCAAGUGGAUAAAUUGCCAUCCAGCCGAUCACUUCGUCGAUCCUUGCCUUCUUCAGCCACGACGUCCAAAUCUCCUUCAUCAACAGAAGAGUAAAAUCCAAUCAUAAGUUCAAACAUCUUAUUCCGUUGUUCUUUUCCAAAUAGAUGUAUGGAAGUAUUUUAACGUCCGGGACCAAAUUCAAGAAAAAGGGGAUAUAAAAAGGCUGUUGCUGUUGAGAAAGAAGAAGAAUAUCGCGUAAUUGCAACCACUUUGGAGCCACGAAUUGAUGAAAGUCAUACAAAGAAAAUGGAUUGGCCGAUACUCAACCAACUCGAACUUCCACCUCGUGUUCCAGCUCAUCUCAUAAAACUUCGCCUCUGGAACCUUCUCCUACAGCUGUUGACAAGCAAGAGGAUUAUACUCCGCCUCUGGAACUCUCUCCUACUGGAGUUGACAAGCAAGAGGAUUCUCCGGCGAUCCGCGGAAAGUUCAGUAUAAUAUUCAUAUUAUACUUUUUAUGCCGGCACCUGUCAUGAGUCAUGCCCGGCGUUUGGAACAAUGGCGUUCCGCCUACUCCGUAUCAAUUCCGUACGACUGCCUCUUCUCUUAACUCUUACUAGCGCCUUUUUUUCACAUUUUCGGUGACAAAGAAGUAGGCAAGAUUGGCACUGUAUUCCACCAUCCUCCUUCUUGCUUUCCUUCUUGCAAUGACAGUGGAAAGUGUUGAUCUGUUUCUUCGUUUCAACUGACUGACGCCCAUGCAUCUUCAUCAAACAACUUCCGGAAUUCUUCCAACUUUUACUCAGGAUUUUGGACUGCACUGCUGACUUGCGCAGGCAUCUGAAAGACCAUCUCUUCAGUUACAAUGAGCUUCGAAAGAAGUAUUUCUUCGGCUUUUUCCCGUCCGAUAAACCAAGUCAGGAAUACUGCAAUAAAAAAAAUAAUUAUUGCGUGUUGGCUUUAGCGGUCUGGUUCCUUUCGGUCGCCCAGCUCGAGUAUCGAGUCGGUGUUGGGGAGCAUAAGCAUCAAGUCGUCUUCUACACUUGGUAUUUUUUGCGCCCGGGUCUCAUCAGAACUACUUUGCUGGUCAUCUGCAGCUUCUGAUGGAGCUCGAACUACUGGAUCUGCCGGAGCUUGAACGACCGGAUCUGCCGGAGCUCGAACGACUGGAACUGACGGAGCUUGAACGACUGGAGCUGCCGGAGCUCGAACUACUGGAUCUGCCGGAGCUUGAACGACUGGAGCUGCCGGAGCUUGAACGACCGGAUCUGCCGGAGCUCGAACAACUGGAGCUGCCGAAGCAUGAACGACCGGAUCCGCCGGAGCUCGAACGACCGGAUCUGCUGGAGCUCGAACGACUGGAUCUGCCGGAGUUUUAUAUUAGAUGUAUAGGCUCAUUCCGUCGGAUGCAUGACUUGACCUGUUCCAGUACUUGGAGGUAUCCCUCGAAGGCAGGCAAGGGUUUAUUUUGAAGUUCGUUAGCCAAGCUUUUGGCUAAUUGAAGUGCUCUGCUGUACAUGUCUUCUCGAGUGACCUGAUCUCGAUUUCUUCGUUGUUGAAUUACGACCGGUGACCAAGCUUCGGGGUGUUCGUCUUGUGAAUCCUCGUCCUAAACAUAAACAGAAACGAAGUUAUUAAAGGUAACUUGUAUCCAAUUCAUCUUCCAAUGAAGUAGGUUCGAUUGAACUACAAAGCGUACGAUUACGUCCUCUACCAUACGGAUUCCACCUUGGCUGUGAUGCUAUUUGAAUUAUUAUCAAUUUAGAUUAAAUUAUAUCAAAUAAAUUGAAAUGAUUUACCUCUAAAAA